GCAAACUUGGUCAUUUAGAGGAAGUAAAAGUCGUAACAAGGUUUCCGUAGGUGAACCUGCGGAAGGAUCAUUAAAAAAAAAAAAUGAAGUUGAGGUUUGAAUUUGAACCUCAAACUAUCUGAACUUGUGGUAUUAAUGAAAUUUGAAUUGGGCUUAAAAAUGGUGUUUUCGUAAGAGAAUAUCGGCUCAAACAACUUUUAUAUAAACUCCCUUUUAUUAUUUGACUGAAUUAUAAAAUAAAAUAAUCCAAAUUAUGGAUUAAAAAAGUUUUAAAUAACUUUCAACAACGGAUCUCUUGGUUCUCGCAUCGAUGAAGAACGCAGC
rnacentral:misc_RNA from 1 species